GACGAACGCUGGCGGCGUGCCUAAUACAUGCAAGUUGAGCGCUGAAGGUUGGUACUUGUACCGACUGGAUGAGCAGCGAACGGGUGAGUAACGCGUGGCUAAUCUGCCUUUGAGCGGGGGACACCAUUUGGAAACGAAUGCUAAUACCGCAUAACAACUUUAAACACAAGUUUUAAGUUUGAAAGAUGCAAUUGCAUCACUCAAAGAUGAUCCCGCGUUGUAUUAGCUAGUUGGUGAGGUAAAGGCUCACCAAGGCGAUGAUACAUAGCCGACCUGAGAGGGUGAACGGCAACAAUGGGACUGGGACAGAGCCCAAGCUACUACGGGAGGCAGCAGUAGGGGAUCUUCAGCAAUGGACGAAAGUCUGACCGAGCAACGCCGCGUGGGUGAAGAAGGUUUUCGGAUCGUAAAACUCUGUUGGUAGAGAAGAACGUUGGUGAGACUGGAAAGCUCAUCAAGUGACGGUAACUACCGAGAAAGGGACGGCUAACUACGUG
rnacentral:rRNA from 1 species